GAAAGCCACUGUUGUGAGAAGGGAAAAAAAAAAAAAAAAAAAAAAAAGGGCAGUCAGCAGCAGAGCCAGCCUGGCAGCAUCUCUGGUGCUGCAGCUUUCAUCCAUAGUAAAGGCUAUAGGUUGUGAGCAGCAGCUGGGUCAGGGUCUCCACAGUGGGGCUGAGGUUCUCUAAAGCCAGAGCCAACCACGUGGGAAGGAUGGAGCCCCCCUUUUCUUUUGAACCCUGUCCCUGGGCUGCAGCACCCUCUGAGACAGAAACUUUUCAUUGUGUGUGUCAGAAGUUUCUCUUGCUGCAGUUUGUGUCUCUGGCCUCUUGUCCCUUGUUGGGCACCUCUGAGAUGGGUCUAGCUGUGUCUUCUUUGUGACGCCCUUUAGUCUUAGGGACAGCAAGAACCUUUACAUGGGGGGAGAUGACUGUAUCAGGCUGCAAGUGUAGAAUGACAAAGUUGGUAGCAGCUGCAGUUCCUUUCUGAUGCAUAUAACUGACAGAUGGUGCCAAAUCCCUGGGCUUGACCUCCCACAUCCUCACAAAAAGCCUCACUGAAGCUUCGAAGGGUGCUUUCCCAAGGCUGUCACCCAGCCAGGAGCUGUGUCCCCGUCCUUCUGUUUGGGGGCCAGCACAAGCCCAUGGUGUACCCACUGCCCACUCACGGCCACCCGCCAGCUCAGAAAUCACCCACCAGACACAGCACCCACCGCGGGGACUUUUAUUCUCAAGCACAAGCUGUAGGCUGCCAUUCCCAGCAGAGCGGCUCCGCGCCUUGGUGCCCAGCCCUGAGGGAGGCGAGGCCCCGCGUGGGACCCUGGCAGCCCGGUGGGGACGGGAGCUGCAGGGGGGCCGCUGAGGAGCAGCUGGAGCAGGGAGCAAAUUAAUUUCCCCAGUGUUAGACCUGAGUACAUUGACACUAGAUGUAGACCUGACCACUGAAAGUUUUGCAUUUAUGGCAUUGCAAUCUGCUGCAGUUAGUGCUCUCGUAGGACUGGCAGGGCUAGGAGGCAGUGGUGUUUCCAAAGAUGAAAUCGUUUGUCAGCAAUGUUGCAAUGUGCUAUUUUCUAAGGAUAACUGUAUUAUGUAAGAGCUUGGGUGUAAGUGGUGCUCUCAGCCAGCAGGAAAGAAACAGUGUUUUCUGCAUCAAUAACAAUUUGAUUUUGGUAGAUAUCCUAGCUCAGUAACUAGCCAAGAAACGCAUCAAAGCACAUCAUUUCUAGUCAGAGACAACAAGCUCGAAGCUCUGCCUUGUUCUCCCAUUUUCUGAUGUCAUUCCUGAAGUUAAAACGGACCUUUGUUAAAAUGGAACAGAAAAACGAGUAUUUGGCAGAUCAAAACCUGAACAGUCUUGGAAUUCUCUUCCCUGCUUAUUCUUAUGACCCCAAGUCAUUCGGACAUAUAUUUUAUAGGGAAAGAUCUGCUGCAUUGGUAGAUAGUGUAGUAAGGAGCAGCAGGAUUAGGUGCACACACCAGAAACCUUGGCCGUUUCCUGCUUCUGCAAAUGAGCAGCUCCAGGUGACUUCCCAGAUCCUCACCCAGGAUCACUACAUAGCACACAGCACCAUCCUGCUCUGGGUCCUCUCCAACCUGGCCUGGAGGCCUGGGCACAGGUGCCAGACUGUGCCAGGCUGGGAGCUUGUGUUCAUCUCCACAUUUAAAUUUACCCACUUCCAUGCUGUGCAAAGAACCGCUUCCAUUAUUUUAAAACUCAUGGCCCUGGUCUUUCAAAAAGAGACUGUGACCUUAGGGCUUUUUUCCUCAGGGUCACUGCUUUUUUUGCCAGAGCUUUGGGCCAAUGCCUUCAGAGAAACAGAGGGUUUUACAUAGCCUGAGGCCGAGCAUGAUAUUUCAACCCUCUCCUUGUCUCCCUCUUCCCAGUAAAACACAAUGUGAGCUGUUCAUAGCAGGCCCUGGGAGAAAAGCCAGUGUAUUUCUUUGUGUCUCUGGCGUGUGUGGCACCAGGCUCUGCCAGACCACGAGACAAAGGCUGGUGGUCAUUGAACUGAGAGAAGAAAGUAAUGAAAGGAGAGGAAUUUGAGUGGGAGGGGGAAGAUGUUUCUGCCUCUGCAGGGUCGUGCUUAUAGUCCUAGCAUAUUGGAAGUGGGAUUCUGCAGGUUCCCCAGCUCUGUGCCUUGGUCACCGUGUGUAUUUGAGCCAACAAAUACAUUGGCCAGAGAUGAGCUGGGAGCCUAGUGGGAAGCCCUAGAAGCAGAAGCACCUGCACACACCUGAGAAUGUGGCUGGUGCCCAUGGAACUCUGUGGAUGGAGGCAAGGGAGGGGUCUCAAUUCAGUGCCCUGCACAUAGGUUCAGGGCCUCUUCAAGUAUCUGAUGUGUGUUCUCCCAGCACAACCAUGCAUCAUGUUUGCAAAGGAACAGCUCUGGACUCCAAUGCUGGAGCACCAAAUAGCCUCCCUUUGGUAGUUCUCGUGAAAAGCACCAAACAGUUCUGCUGCCACUGCAAAUUUUCUGAAGUUGAAAACACUCGGAUGCUGUUACCUCAGCCAAAACAUGGCCUUGAGCUUAGGUCAUUUCCUGGCUGAGCCAAAGGACUAUUCUAGGUUCAUUAAAAAUAUAUGAAUUUGUUCUCCAUGCAACUGGCCCUGAGAGAAGGCAUUACAGCAUCAAUUUGCAGUGUCCCUUCUGCACCUGGUGCAGAGAGCAACCCCAGAAGGAGAGGACUGCAGGGGGUAUAAAGAGGGAAGGCAUGCUGGUGCUGAAGGCUCACAUCCUUGCAGCUCACAUCCAAGCCACAAUAACCGGCACAGAGGAAACCAAGUGGCGUGUUUUUUUUUUGUGUGUGUUUUUGUUUUGUUUUGUUUUGUUUUUAAGGUGUUUCUAAAAUACCUGCGUUUCUGUUGAAAAUAUUGUGGCUACCAGUGAGUGAUUCAGGUCUACCUUCUGUCAAAGCAGAGAUGACUAUAUUUAGAGCAUGUUUUGUAAAAUUCCUUUGAUCAGAUCCCUAAAUCCCUUUUAAAACAAACUAGAUGAUAUCCCAUGGCUUUAAAGUACCUUAGUAAUUUUUGGUCUAGAAACAUAACAGGUAACAAUUGGCAGAUGAUACCUUCUGAAGUGAGUCUCAUGUUCUAGACUGCACUAAAAGGGGGGAAGUUGUGGUAUUUGCUUUGUUGAGCUGACUGCAUCCUCACCUCAGAAGAACACUUUCAGCUUCUAAGGUCUCUGCCAAGCAGAGCUCUCACAAACAGCAGGAGCAGAGCACUACCCUGUUAACUCUGAUCUAAACCUCAGAAAUGUAGAAACUGUUAUAAAAAUAAUGCCUAGUUACCAGGAGUUUGGCAAGUAAAGUUUCAUAACUAAAUCAAUUUUCAAGGCAGAUUGAUUAUAUAAAGACAGAAUAAUAAAUGGUUCACCUUCCAUCACUGACUUUAGGCAAGUAUCACCAGAAAUUAUCUGAAGAUUUUGGCAGCCACAGGGAACUGGAGCUCCUUACAGGAAGCUCAUCUCAGGCAGAUCAUUAUGACAACUUUUUUUUUUUUCUUCCAACCAAAAUAAAUAGGCUAAGCCCCAAAUACAUCACCCAUAUCAGUGUUUCAACCAACUGCAUCCAUUUAAACUGUGCAAAAGAAGCUCCACAGCUCUCCCUAGUGAGGACUGUCAGUACAAGAGUGGAAGUGUUUCUGAGCACAGGUUGAAGACGAUGUUUUCCUUACACAGCAACCCCCCAGGGAGUACUCCAGCCCUGCUAAGUCAUUCAGACAAAAUUAUUCUACUAAUGAAUCACCCACGGCUGAACCUGUGUGUGACUUAAGCCUUAUUUACAGAAUAAAUACCAAAUUAUUUAUCUAAUUUCUAAAUAAAAUUAAUAAAAUCACUGUAUUUUUCCCAGGUAAUCCCUGAUCUUAUGCAGGAUGUGAGUGAAAAGCUAUUUGGUAGCAGAGGAGUAUUUAAAAUUCAACUUAUAGUGUGUGUGUAUAUAUGGUUGUAUGUAUUAAUUCACAGGCAUGUUUCUGUCCCGGGUUGCUGAUGAGUGGCACAUUUGGAAGUAGAGUUUGCACCCCUGCUGCCCCUCCCUUGCUCCCCAAGGCUCCAGGCACUGCUUUGUGAUGCACUGCACAGCCACAGUCCCUGCCUCCCAGGCAUUAAAAUCAAGGUUGGAUGUUAAUCACAAGUUUUUAUGGCAAUGAGUUUGGGCUUUUUAACCUGAACUUCCCACUGUCUCAGGUUUGAUCUGAUGUCACCUCUGCAGUACAAGGAAAUCAGGGUCAGCAGGAAUAGAUUUUAUUGCCAGAUUUAAAUUAGUAUGCAUUGAAUCGCCACCCAGUUCUUUCAAUGAACAACAGCAGCAAGUAAAGCAUUCCUGGCUCACAUGCUUCCUUUCAAUAAGUUUUUACAGUGGCUGUUACAGAAACUGUACAUAUCCUUGGAGGGAGCGAUACAGUAUAAGAACUGUGUUUGCAGGAGGAAAGGGGAAUUCAUCCAUGCUGAGGACACAUACUUCAAGUCAUUGUCCCCAUGGCCCUGGGAUGGGACAGCAGGACACAUGGCAUAGGGUGUGGGGUGGGGAGGAACAGACAGCCUGGCACAUCUCCGUCACUGGGUCUGAUGGCAGAUGUCACUUCUGCCCUCACACUGUGGCAGUAGCUGAGCUCAACCUGUUUGUGGGGGUCAUCAGCUGAGCCCUGAGCCUCCUGCCCUGCAGCAGCCCCUGUGGGGAUGUGACCCCACACACUGGCUCCCAGGCACAUCACCUGUGCUGGGGGCACCACGCCAGGGUUCAUGGCAGGGACACCUGACUCAACCCAUCACCUGACGCCAGCACUGAGGCCACCACCCAUCCUCACCCUAACCCUGACUUAGUUUCUCUAAGGGCUGGCAGACCUUUGUGCCCAGUACUGUAUGCGACGUGUCUGUACUCCAGCAUCUCCAUAGUUACAUGCAACACUAACACAACGGUUUAUGGGGGGUCACACCUGCCUGUCACACCCUUGUAGUCCAGGCAGGGCCCUGUAUUUAAGGGGUGCCCAAAGGCCAGCCCCACCACCUCGGGCUGCUGUGCGAGAUUGACAGUUGGAGCUACAGCUUUCAGACGGGGCUGUUCUGCAGCAUAGCUCAAAGGCCGUGAGAAGAUGUCAGCCCCCCACCCAGGACCACACGGAGGGCCACCACCACCACAUCCUGGGCCUGGCGUGCCAGGGGG